rnacentral:rRNA from 1 species
UACGUAGGGUGCGAGCGUUAAUCGGAAUUACUGGGCGUAAAGCGUGCGCAGGCGGUUUUGUAAGCCAGAUGUGAAAUCCCCGGGCUCAACCUGGGAAUGGCAUUUGGGACUGCAAGGCUUGAGUGCGGCAGAGGAGACUGGAAUUCCUGGUGUAGCAGUGAAAUGCGUAGAGAUGUGGAGGAACACCGAUGGCGAAGGCAGCACUCUGGGCCGGAACUGACGCUGAGGAGCGAAAGCGUGGGGAGCGAACAGG